UAAAACCAGAGGUCUUGUUAAUGCUAAUGUGGUAUCCUGCUUGUCAGGGUGCAGCAGUAAGCACGUGGUAGAUGUUUUCAAAACAAAUACAAAUAGGUUGACUUUUAAAAUCUAUCUGGAAAGAUUUCACAGAAAAAUGGGACUUAGAUUUUAGAGCUCAGUUUCACCAGAACUCUUCAGAGUUUUAAUUGAGAUUUAUCACUGCCAACCUUUGUUGCUCUCCCAAAUAAGUCCUAACUACUCAUCUCCCUUGGGCUCUUGUGAUAUUUCCUUAGGAUAAAUGUCUAAGUUAUUUUUAAUGAAUCCUACUGAAUAUAAGAUUACCUACUUUGCCUGUAAUCCCAGCACUCUGAGAGGCCAUGGUGGGUGGAUAGUUUGAAUUCAGGAGUUUGCGACCAGUCUGGGCAACAUGGCAAACCCCAUCUCUACUAAAAAUAUAAAAAUUAGCCAGGCAUGGUGGCGCACACCUGUAAUCCCAGCUAUUUAGGUGGCUGAGGCAGGAGAAUUGCUUGAACCCUGAAGGCAGAGACUGCAGUGAGCUGAAAUCACACCACUGCACGCCACCCUGUAUGACAGAGUGAGACCCUGUCUCAAAAAAAAAAAAAAUUGCCUACUUUAUAAAUGUUUAUGUAUGUUUUAUAAAUGCAACAUACACUGGGCAACCCCUCUUCUGUGAACAUCAGCUCCUGUGACUUCACCCUCGGGUUUCCUUUCAUAAAUCUCUGACUACUUCCUGGUCUCUUUUACAGCAUCCCAUUCCUCUGCCCACAUCUUUAAUGUUAAGCUUCCCCAAGGUUCCAUCUUGGACCCCAUUUUCCAUGGGUGUAAUCUCACCUGUCUCCCCUAUUUGUUACCAUUUAUAUGAUGGUAGCUCUCAAAUUGUUACUGUUGCUCAGAUGUAUCCUAGACUGAUUUAUCCUCUUGCUAACUGGUCUGUUUCUAACAUUGCCUUCUGUACAUAAAAUUCCCUCAGUGUCACCAGAAUAUUUUUGUUUUUAAAUUCUAAUAGCACGUAAUAUAGAAAAAAAUAUAAUGUAUGAACAAGCAUUAUCAUUAAAUAUGGGGGAGGAGAGACUACAAGACACCGCAAAGAAGCAAUUCACCAAACCCAAAAUAUGGAACAUUCUAUAGGACAAAUGAUGGGGUUUCUUCAACAAAUGGAAGGAAGGAGGGAAAACCAUGGUGGAUAAUUUUUUGUUUUGAGACAGAGUCUCCCUCUGUUGCCCAGGCUGGAGUCCAGUGGUGUAAUCUUGGCUCACUGCAACCUCCACCUCUCAGGUUCAAGCGAUUCUCCUGCCUCAGCCUCCCAAGUAGCUGAGAUUACAGGCCUGCAUCACCACAUCCAGAUAGUUUUGUAUUUUGAGUAGAGACAGGGUUUCGCCAUGUUGGUCAUGCUGGUCUCAAACUCCUGACCUCAGGUGAUCCAGCCACCUCAGCCUCCCAAAGUGCUGGGAUUACAGGCAUGAGCCACUGCGUUCGGCCAACAAAAAUAAAUUUAAGUGACAACUAAAAGGCAACAUAUAAAUCUUGUUUGAAUCCUCACUCAAUCCAGCAAUAAAAAGGAAUAUUUGGAACUAUUGAGAAAUUUAAAUAUGGACUAGGUAUGAAGUAAGGAAUUAUUACUGAUUUUCAUAGUUGUAAUAAAAGCAUCAUGAUUAUGUAAAAAAAAAGACUAUGUUAGAAAUGCAUACUGGUAUGUAAAUGAGAUGAGAAUGAAAAAAUGUUAGUAAUCAUAACUAGCUGUUCAUUAUUGUUCUUUAUAUAUUUGAAAUUUUUCUUCAUAAAAAGUAAAAAAUGAGGCUGGAUGUGGUGGCUUAUGCCUGUAAUCCAGCACUUUGGGAGGCCAAGGCGGGUGAAUCACAAGGUCAGGAGUUCAAGACCAGCCUCACCAACAUGGUGAAACUCCGUCUCUACUAAAAAUAUAAAAUAUAGCUGGGUGUGGUGGUACGUCCUUGUAAUCCCAGCUACUCAAGAGGCUGAGGCAGGAGAAUGGCUUGAACCUGGGAGGCAGAGGUUGCAGUGAGCCAAGAUCACGCCAUGGCACUCCAGCCUAGCAAGACUCUUGUCUCAAAAAAAAAAAAAGUAAAAAAUGAAAGGGCAGUUCAACUAAAAAGGAAAAAAUAAAAAUAAGGGAGAAAAAAAAAUCUUACCAUCCUGGGAAUUUUUGUUUACAGAACCAAAGGCUAUCUGGUGAAAGUCCUUGACUCCAGCAAUCAAUCCUGGCAACAAGUCUGAGUUUAUCUCAUGCACACGUCCUCUGUUUCUCUGCAAUACAUAUGAAGCCCUCAAACAGCUUCCUAAGGACAGGAAGUUGGGGUUUUUCUGUUUAAAGCACUGAUUCUUAGCAGCACUACCCUGCAGUGAGAUGGCAGAGUCAUCCAUUGCUGCCAUCAAACCACAACUUACCAAGCUAAUGGUCAAAUUGCCUGUGUCCCACUAAUGUUAGUAAUAAAGCAGCUAGCUACAAUUUUAGAUCAGUGGAAACCCCUUGCUUGACCAUAAACCCUGAGCUUCUGGGGACCAUUUGUACCUUUGCCAUUGUCAAAAACAAGUGAUUAGCAUGGCACCUGGCCCCAGUAAGCACUGAUGUUUAAUUGAACAGACAUCCUUAGAGGAAAGGGGCCAUGGUCAUUUGAAAGUCACUGAAUUUGGUUUAUAAAUUGUGCUAAGAAGCCGGGCUCAUGGUGCCCCUGUAGUCUCAGCUGCUGGGGAGGCUGAGGGAGGAGGAUUCAUGGAGCCAAGGAGUUCAAGGCUUCAGUGUGCUACGGAGUGCAUAUGAAUAGCCGUUGCACUCCAGCCUGGGCAACAUAGCAAGACCCCACCUCUGAAAAAAAAUUGUGCUAACAGAUUAUGGAAACAAGUUUAAGAUGACUUCCCAAAGAUACUAUUCCUUUUCCAGUCACUAGAAUUGUGGUUAUUGGGAAAAGUUACACAGAUAAAAGCAAGCGCAGGAAUAAUAGAAGCUCAAAGCAUCAAGUAAGAUUGGAAUAGAAAAAUUGUGGUUUCCCUCAGACCCUUGUUUAACACAGUAUUUUUUUUUAAAGAGCAACUUUUCCCUACCCCUCUUUUUAUCCUUUCCCUUUACAUUAUCUUCAAUGAUAGUUCUUGCUAAUUCUCGGGAGUCCACAACACUGCAGAAUGUCAGGGAGCUAGCAAACUCGAAAUCUCUAAUUCCUAAGGCUGUGUCGGUGACAUGUAAUAUACCGGUCCCUACAUGUCCCCUCCUUUGUCUAAAAGUAAAACUUUAGUAAAUGUUGACAUUUAAUUUUCCAGAGUGUUAAUGAGUAGUUUCUAAUUCUAAGUUUCUACCCCAUCUUAAUGUGAGAAUUAGUGAAAUAAAUCACAUUAAACCAUUUUUUAAUUUUGGGGGCAAAAACAGGAUGAAAACAUGAGGUAUUGCUACUUGAUUUGGUAAACACCCGGGAGGCAGAUGUUGUAGUGAGAUCACGCCCCUGCACUCCAGUCAGGGUGACAGAGCAAGACUCUGUCUCAAAAUAAAUAAACAAAUAAAUAAAAAUAAAAAAUGAAAGGGCGAAAACCUUGUUUCUUGUUAAACCUUGUUUCUUGCAGGAGUUUUGGGCCAAAGACCAUAAUAAAACAAACUCAGGAGCUUAUUUCAAGAGAAUACUCUCCCUGUCCCAUACCUGUCCUUACUACUUUGUUUUGUGUGCUGUUGUAAGCUCCUCGACCAUCUGACCUGGACAGUUUCAGCUAUUUGGCUUUAUCCAUUCUCAUUUAGUGUGCAAUGCUAUGGCUGCAACAUUGUGAAAUCAAUUCCAAGAAGUCACAAAGCAAGAAUUUGAUGUGAAGGGAUGUCCUUCAUUUAGAGUUCCCUUCAGGAUAAGAUACUGGAGGUUUCAUUGCAGGGAAUUUUAGAGAGAAAACAAUAGGAGGAUGAGGGAUUUUGAGGGUUUUUUUUUUUCCCUAAAGAAAACUAUCAAUAAAGGAACCCUGUUGACAGUGUAAAGCAGUGCUUCUCUCUGGGGCCAAGGCCAGAGCUGUGGACACCUUAUCCCACUCAUCCUCAUCCUCUUCCUCUGAUAACACCCCUACCAGCGCUGAUAAAGUCUUUCUCAUGAGAGCCUAGAGGCCUUUAAAAAAAAAGUGCUUGAAGGAGAAGGGGACAAAGGAACACCAGUAUUAAGAGGAUUUUCCAGUGUGUUUCUGGCGGUUGGUCCAGAAGGAUGACGCCGUUCCUGUUUCUCAUCUGUCUCUUCAUCACAGGCACCUCCAUGUCGCCCGUGGCCCUAGAUCCGUGUUUCGCUUACAUCAGCCUGAAUGAGCCCUGGAGGAACACUGACCACCAAUUGGAUGAGUCUCAAGGUUCUCCUCUGUGUGACAACCAUGUGGAUGGGGAGUGGUACCGCUUCACGGGUAUGGCAGGAGAUGCCAUGCCCACCUUCUGCAUACCAGAAAACCACUGUGGAACCCACGCACCUGUCUGGCUCAAUGGCAGCCACCCCCUAGAAGGUGAUGGCAUUGUGCAACGCCAGGCUUGUGCCAGCUUCAAUGGGAACUGCUGCCUCUGGAAUACCACGGUGGAGGUCAAGUCUUGCCCUGGAGGCUACUAUGUGUAUCGUCUGACCAAGCCCAGUGUCUGCUUCCAUGUCUACUGUGGUCAUUUUUAUGACAUCUGCGACGAGGACUGCCAUGACAGCUGCUCAGAUACCAGUGAGUGCACCUGCGCUCCAGGAACCGUGCUAGGUCCUGACAGGCAGACAUGCUUUGAUGAAAAUGAAUGUGAGCAAAACAAUGGUGGCUGCAGUGAGAUCUGUGUGAACCUCAAAAACUCCUACCGCUGUGAGUGUGGGGUUGGCCGUGUGCUAAGAAGUGAUGGCAAGACUUGUGAAGACAUUGAAGGAUGCCACAAUAACAAUGGUGGCUGCAGCCACUCUUGCCUUGGAUCUGAGAGAGGCUACCAGUGCGAAUGUCCCCGCGGCCUGGUGCUGUCUGAGGAUAACUGCACUUGCCAAGUCCCUGUGUUGUGCAAAUCGAAUGCCAUUGAAAUGAGCAUCCCCAGGGAGCUGGUUGGUGGCCUGGAGCUCUUCCUGACCAACACCUCCUGCCGAGGAGUGUCCAACGGCACCCACGUCAACAUCCUCUUCUCUCUCAAGACGUGUGGUACAGUGGUUGAUGUGGUGAAUGACAAGAUCGUGGCCAGCAACCUUGUGACAGGUCUACCCAAGCAGACCCCGGGGAGCAGCGGGGACUUCAUCAUCCGAACCAGCAAGCUGCUGAUCCCGGUGACCUGCGAGUUUCCACGCCUGUACACCAUUUCUGAAGGAUACGUUCCCAACCUUCGAAACUCCCCGCUGGAAAUCAUGAGCCGAAAUCAUGGGAUCUUCCCAUUCACUCUGGAGAUCUUCAAGGACGAUGAGUUUGAGGAACCUUACCGGGAAGCUUUGCCCACCCUCAAGCUUCGUGACUCCCUCUACUUUGGCAUCGAGCCUCUGGUGCACGUGAGCAGCUUGGAAAGCUUGGUGGAGAGCUGCUUUGCCACCCCCACCUCCAAGAUUGACGAGGUCCUGAAAUACUACCUCAUCCGGGAUGGCUGUGUUUCAGAUGACUCUGUAAAGCAGUACACAUCCCGGGAUCACCUCGCAAAGCACUUCCAGGUCCCCGUCUUCAAAUUUGUGGGCAAAAACCACAAGGAAGUGUUUCUGCACUGCCGGGUUCUUGUCUGUGGAGUGCUGGACGAACGUUCCCGCUGUGCCCAGGGUUGCCACCGGCGUAUGCGUCGUGGGGCAGGAGGAGAGGACUCAGCCAGUCUACAGAGCCAGAUGCUAACAGGUGGCCCAAUCCACAUCGACUGGGAGGACUAGUUUGUGGCCACACCUGUGUUGGGUCACUGAGUCCGUGUUGGGCGGCUCUGCUCUUUGGAGCUUCUCCCCACGCCCUCCAAGAACCUAAGUUCAAACUUCAUACUCUUCCCUGUCUGUGGCCAUACCACCUGGAACACGCCCAAUCUUGCCUAUAGCUUUCCCUGUUCAAGUAUUGGAUGAACAACCAUUCACUGAUGGAAAAACAUUUGCAUGUGUUGGAUAUGUUGGUUAGCCACUGUCUUAGGAGCCAACGAUAUGGAGACAAAAGACAUCAUCCUCAAUUCAAGGACUCCACAGUUCGGAUAAAGAGGUGGACAGGUAAACAGAUAGCUACACUACCUCAUGAUGAAAGUAAGCCCAAGGUGGUAUGGGAGCCCAUAGAAAGGGUCUCUAUCCCUUUGCAGCAAGGGUUAUUAGGGGAGGUAUCUUAGAGGAAGUAAGAUAUAUAAGCUUAAACUUCAAGAAUGGUCAGGAAAAUUAAGUACUUAUGCAUACUAAAACAUGGAAGAAUUUUGAAAACAUUAUGCUAAGCAAAAGAAGCCAGACACAAAAGGCCACAUAUUGUAUGAUUCCAUUUAUAGAAAAUAUCCAGAAUAGGCAAUCCAUAUAGAGAGUAAAAUAGUGGUUGUUUAGGGCUAGGGUGGGGUAGGGGAGGUAAUGAGUAGUGACUGCUAAUGGCUACAGGGUUUCUUUUGGGGCUAAUGAAAAUGUUCUGGAAUUAGAUUGUGGUGAUGGUUGCACAAUUCUGUGAAUAUACAAAAACCACUGAAGUGUAUACUUUUAAAGGGUACAUUUGAUGGUAUGUAAAUAAUGUAUCAAUUUUUUAAUUUUUUUA